GGCGGUCUUNGGCCGUCCGAAUUGUAGCCUAGAGAAGCGUUUUCUGNGCCGGACCGUGUACAAGUCCCUUGGAACAGGGCAUCAUAGAGGGUGAGAAUCCCGUACAUGACACGCUCCACCGGUGCUUUGUGAUGCGCUCUCGACGNGUCGAGUUGUUUGGGAAUGCAGCUCAAAAUGGGUGGUAAAUUCCAUCUAAAGCUAAAUACAGGCGAGAGACCGAUAGCGAACAAGUACCGUGAGGGAAAGAUGAAAAGCACUUUGGAAAGAGAGUUAAACAGUACGUGAAAUUGCUGAAAGGGAAACGCUUCAAGUCAGUCGUGUCGGCCAGGACUCAACCCCCCCCGAAAGGUGUGGGUGUACUUCCUGGUUGAUGGGUCAGCAUCGAUUUUGGCCACCGGAAAAGGGUUGGAGGAAUGUGGCACCCUCUUUUCGGGGGGUGUGUUUAUAGCCUUUGAUCGGAUGCGGUGGUUGGGAUCGAGGAAAGCAGCACGCGUGAAAUGAAGGACUUUUUGUUUUUUUGUUUUGCGACCCGGGGUUCGCCCACGAUUGACGUGCUUAGGAUGCUGGCGUAAUGGCUUGAAACGACCCGUCUUGAAACACGGACCAAGGAGUCUAACAUGCCUGCGAGUGUUUGGGUGGAAAACCCGAGCGCGCAAAGAAAGUGAAAGUCGAGAACUCUGUCACGGAGUGCAUCGACGCCCGGACCAUUCUUGGUCUGAGGUAGAGCAUGCAUGUUGGGACCCGAAAGAUGGUGAACUAUGCCUGAAUAGGGUGAAGCCAGAGGAAACUCUGGUGGAAGCUCGCAGCGAUUCUGACGUGCAAAUCGAUCGUCAAAUUUGGGUAUAGGGGGCGAAAGAC
rnacentral:rRNA from 1 species